GUGUCAGCCGCCGCGGUAAUACGGAGGGAGCUAGCGUUGCUCGGAAUUACUGGGCGUAAAGAGUACGUAGGCGGUGAUUCAAGUCAGAGGUGAAAGCCUGGAGCUCAACUCCAGAACUGCCUUUGAAACUAGAUCGCUAGAAUUAUGGAGAGGUUAGUGGAAUUCCGAGUGUAGAGGUGAAAUUCGUAGAUAUUCGGAAGAACACCAGUGACGAAGGCGACUAACUGGACAUAUAUUGACGCUGAGGUACGAAAGCGUGGGGAGCAAACAGGAUUAGAUACCCCAGUAGUCC
rnacentral:rRNA from 1 species